GACGAACGCUGGCGGCGUGCUUAACACAUGCAAGUCGAACGGAAAGGCCCUUCGGGGUAGCCGAGUGGCGAACGGGGGGGUAACACGUGGGGGAACAGACCUGCACUUUGGGUUAAGCCUGGGAAAAUGGGGCUAAACCCGAAUAAGAACGCGCGCCUCCCGGCGGGUGGAGGCAAGGUGUUUCGGGGUGGGAUGGGCCCGGGGCCGACCAGCUUGUUGGUGGGGUAUGGGCCUACCAAGGCGACGCAGGGUAGCCGUCCUGGGAGGGUGACCGGCCACACUGGGACUAAGGUACGGCGCAGUCGCCUACGGGGGGCAGCAGUGGGAAAUAUUGCACAAUGGGCGCAAGCCUGAUGCAGCGACGCCGCGUUUGGAAUGACGGCCUUCGGGUUGUAAACCUCUUUCGCCUAGGACGAAGCGCAAGUGACGGUACCUAGAGAAGAAGCACCGGCCAACUACGUG
rnacentral:rRNA from 1 species